rnacentral:rRNA from 1 species
CCUACGGGAGGCAGCAGUGGGGGAUAUUGCACAAUGGGGGGAACCCUGAUGCAGCGACGCCGCGUGGGUGAAGAAGCGCCUCGGCGCGUAAAGCCCUGUCAGCAGGGAAGAAAAUGACGGUACCUGAAGAAUAAGACCCGCCUAACUACGUGCCAGCAGCCGCGGCAAUACGUAGGGGGCAAGCGUUGUCCGGAUUUACUGGGUGUAAAGGGGGCGCAGACGGCGAUGCAAGCCAGAAGUGAAAGCCCGGGGCCCAACCCCGGGACUGCUCUUGAAACUGCGUGGCUGGAGUGCAGGAGGGGCAGGCGGAAUUCCUGGUGUAGCGGUGAAAUGCGGAGAUAUCAGGAGGAACACCGGUGGCGAAGGCGGCCUGCUGGACUGCAACUGACGUUGAGGCCCGAAAGCGUGGGGAGCAAACAGGAUUAGAUACCCUAGUAGUC